rnacentral:lncRNA from 1 species
CUACAGCUUUUCCCAGGGCUGUCAGCACUGCCUGCCUUGCCCUGGCUGGGGUGCGGCUGGGGUGCAGCCGAGGGAGCAGUUAGACAAACUGUGGCUUCUCCCGGGGCUGCUGGCUUAAGCCAGGGCUUAUCCAGGUACUCCUGCUGGCACCUCCUCCCCAGCUGCUCUUGGGAAGCUGCGGCAUGACUAGAGCCUCUCAGAUCCUCUUUUGAGACCAAACUUCAUCAUAUGCCCGAAAGCAGCAGCAGCAUCGAGCCUCCAAGCAGCCCUGGUGAAGCUUGUUUAGGUCUUCAUAUUGAGGAUGGGUCCCUGUUCCUGAAGUGAAGCCACCACAAGAUUCAAACCCAUUCAGACCUGCUGAGCAUUCAUAGCUGGUUCACCAUCACUCCAGCUCCAGUCUGCAAUGUCAGGGAUCCAUGCCUGCUGCAACAGUGAGUAUUUUGGCUCCUCUGAGACCAUUAUGGUGAGAAGCCUCUCAGCAUCUGGCUUCUGCCAAUUGCCCCUGCUAGGGCAAAUGACCUCACUGUGUUGCUCACGUUCCCUCGGGGACCAUUUUUCCAGUCCUCCCUGGGUGUUGCUCCAGGUUGCUUUUGAACUAGUGAACACAGGCCAGGUGCCAAAUCGCUGCCAACACACAUUUACAAAGCAUGCCCAGACCAGCACUGGAAGUCCACCCCGGUGUGCUGCCAUGCUCAGCAUCAGCCGUUCCACUCGUCAGUCCCGUGCCGCAGAAAGCACAUGCAACCAAGCAACUAACAGGCGGUCCUCGGAUGUACGACAGAAUUGGUUCCUAAAAAACGCAUCUUAAAUCGAAACGUUGCAACUCAGAACCAAUUUUCCCAUAGGAAACAAUGUUAUAAAUGGGGGAUUAGUUCCUGAACCAAGACCUGAUACCCUACUUUCACCAAAAAUAACCCAGAGUUUUAUACUCAAUCAAUUAUAGAUGAGUAAAGUAGCUACAUCAAUGUAUUUAUAUUGUAAAUAGCAAUCGUAUUGAUUUGGAAGGACUUCUUUGAGGCGACUUUGCUGGACUUUUUGAAGGGCUCUCGGUUGGAUUUUUUGAAGAGUUCUUGGCUGGAGUCUUCUCAGGAGUCUUGUCUGCUUUCUUAAAGAAAGUGUCCCAGGAAGUUUGGACAGACAUUCUCCAGGGAGACAGGCAAUGCAAUGAACUUGUUAGCUGAUGUGGCGUGGCAUGGCAUCGGAUCAAGCAUUGUAAAGUUGAAACUGAUGUCAUAAAGUUGAAACAGGGUGUCAAUUUAGAAGAUGUAAGUGCAAAACACUGUAAGUCAAGGACUACCUGUACUUGCAAAGCUGGGGUUCUAUUGGUCACAUGUCUCCAAAGAGCUGCACUGUAAUCAGGGUGGUCCUGGGUGUGGGCUCUGAGGAAGCCCUGAGAAGUUCAGUACUGGCUGCAGGGCCAUUGACAGCUGUACUGUGGGGGUCCCACAUGCCAAGGAUGGUGAGAUACAGAUGGAAACAUGCCCAAGAGGUCUGGACUAGAGGCAGUGUCUGCA